UCUUCAACAAAAAUGAAGUAUUCGAUAAUACAAUUUAUAUUUUGCAAGAUGUCCGUAAUAAUGGCGUUUAAUGUAAGAAAAUAUUUCAUUUUCUCUCUUAAGUUUGGCCAUCUUGCUAUUUAUUCUAGUAUUAAAAAGUAAUUGAGCAUUGUAACUGGUUACUUCUUCUAACUUAUCGAUAUGCGCGAUUGUGGUGUUUAGAAUUUUUAAUUGAUUUGCCAUAAUGAUGAAGUAUUUGCUGUUUAUUAUUCAGAAUCGUAACUUGUUCUUUAAUAAUUUUUUUCAUCUGAAGCAUCCAUAAUGCCAAAAAGUGCUUUAGCUUAAUGGAGCCUUCCAUCAAUCCACAUUUUUUAUUUUGGGUUGUUUGAUAAAUGGUGUUUAUUCGAUCGACUAAAGUAACUAUUUUCCUGUUUCGAUUAGCUAUUUCAUAUUUUCGCGUCUUUCUGGAUUUUACACAGGUGAUGAACAUGAUCGAUAUAAUCUUGUAGUAUGUGAAUUCGCUUAUUUAUCGAGCCAAUAUCAAUAUUUAUCACCAGCUUCUAUGAUGAUUCUCUGCGUUGAAACCACU